rnacentral:tRNA from 1 species
ACUUUCUUAGUAUCAAUCAGUACACGUGACUUCCAAUCACAUAGUCUCAGUUAAACUCUGAGAGAAAGUA